rnacentral:rRNA from 1 species
UGCGUAGGCGGCCCGAUUAGUCAGAGGUGAAAGCCUAUAGCUUAACUAUAGAAUUGCCUUUGAUACUGUCGGACUUGAAUUAGGACGAGGUCAGCGGAAUGUGACAUGUAGCGGUGAAAUGCAUAGAUAUGUCAUAGAACACCAAUUGCGAAGGCAGCUGACUAGACCUUGAUUGACGCUGAGGCACGAAAGCGUGGGGAGCGAACAGGAUUAGAUACCCUGGUAGUCC